rnacentral:lncRNA from 1 species
GCGGACGUGGGAUAAGGUAUGCGUGUAUCUAAUGAUCUCCAAACCUUUAACACUUGCGUGCACGAAAUUAUAUUUUCUUUUAAAUACUAUGUACGACAGUAGUUUUUAUCAGAUUAGGAUAGAUAUGCUAUUUUGACCCUAAAUGACUAGCUUACAUGUUCAUAUUUGUUGUUUCAUGUCAUAAGAAUAGGCAACUGAUAAUUGUCUAAAAAAAAAAAUCUUAUCCAAUGGCACUGACACUUGGAUGAAAGAUUCAAUUAAAAUUUGAUAAGCUUCUAAGCAUUUUCAUUGGUGGAAAACUACUACUCAUUCAUUUCCUAUCCAGUCCAAAUCAACAAUAAAAUUAGCUUUAAGAAAAAAGAGAAAAACUUAAGGACUAUAUGUAUCGAGGAGCAUGAAGGCUCCCACAAAGUUAUAGAUCCUUGAUAUUUAGCUUUACUACGUUAAAUACAUAAAAGAAGCGUAGAUACCAAGUGUCAUGAUUCAGUCAAGAUCUAAUAUCAAACAUGGACCACUUCUUUGUACUCUUCAUCUUGGUUCUAUAGGAGUUGGCGUUAAGAAGAUUCUCAAAUGAUUUUCCUUUUCUGUUCCGUAUCGCAGCCAGCCUUAUCUUUUCAUCAUCAACAUUGGGAUUUUCCAUUCCAGGCUUUUCUUCUCUAAUCUUAAGGAUGUACUUCAAUAUCUCAAUAGCAUAGAUAACUUCGGCAAUGACAGAUUACGGAAAACUUAAAGAUGCAGUUCAAGUGUUCAACUAUACAUAAAGAGUUCAAGAUGUAAUCCUGAGACCCUUUUUUGCUGUGUCGUGCAAAUGAGCAAUUUGUAAAUGGUUUUAAUAAGACUAGUAAAAUCAUCCUUAAGAACCAUAAACCAGUAUUGUCAUAAACAGGGGAUCAGCCUCAUCAUCAUGCUUUCAACAAAGAUAACUGAUGCGCAUCUAAAAGUGAUUUUGACAAGACAGUAAGGUACCCUGGCUGGUAGAUCUAGAUAUGAUGUUAUCUAAUAUGAGAUGGUUAUUGUGAAUAAAAAUGAAAAUGCUUUUCUUAGACAAUCUGCCCAUGCAAUGAAUGGUUAAAACAAGUAACCAGAGCAGUUAAACAAAAUACAGGGAUAACAUGGUUAUUUUAACAUGAAUGAAUGUAGAACAAUGCUAACCUUCCUAUGUCAUCAUAGGUUGCAGCAAGGUAGCUAUAAACUCCAAUAGUCUCUACGUGACAUGAGCCACAUUCUAGUUCCAAUAUCUUUCUUGCCUCUUUAAAUCACCCAAUGGCCUCAUCUAUUCUGUACAGUUGCACAUUUGCUAGUCCCAUCUGGUUCAAUACAAUUCCAAAAAAAGCAAAUUUACUCUCCCCACUAGCAUGGAGCUUUGCCAUAGCACUCUCGAAAGAGCUUCGAACUUCCCCAUACCUCCCAACCAGGUAAAACAUCCCACCCAUCUGUGCUUCAAUUCUGGCAAUGGUGCUUAUGUUGCCAUGGGUGUCCUCCAGUAACUUCAUCGCCAUCUCAAGGAGCUUCAGAGCCUCUUCAGGCUAAUUCAAAGCUUCAUAAAUGGCUGAUACUUCAGUCAAUCCACUGGCAAUCUCCUCUGGUGUAGUUCCAGGAACCUGUUUAAAAUAUAUCCUAAAGGCAUUCUCGGAAUAGAAUUUGGAUUCCCUUAGCUUGCCUGUCUUGUUGUAGAGAUCAGCAAGACGAAUGAAGACUGAUGCCAAAGAAGGGUCACUUUUGCCUUUUGUGGACUUAAACACUGUUAAGUGCCUUCUGAUAGGCAAAGAUUGCCUCAUCAAAUCUGCAAAGGGACAAAUAAAUGUUGCCGAUGCUAACAUCAAUAUUAGCCACCUCAUUUUCUUGACCAUUAGCAAUCAUUGACAUGCUAGCACGGACAAGGUGCUCAAGGGCAGAUUCAUAGUCUCCCUUUGCUUCACACACAAGAGCCAUAAGCAGGUGAUCAGCUGCUUCUUCAAGGGGUCCUGGUGCACUGUGCUCUUUGUGGAUUUCGAGGGCCUUCUAGCAGGACUUUCUGCCUCGUCAAAUUGCACCACUUGAACAUGGGCCUCAGCUAAAUACCUGACAGUUUCACUCAGUUGAGAAUGCACUUAUGCUGAUUAAUGUAACAAUUUCGAGAAAGCAAAUUGCUCAAUCUAGUAUAUAUAUUUCCCCCGGGUUGCUUAGUUGCUCUGUGUAUGGCUUUAUUGUUUUCACCAAGUGAAUUAGCAUUAAGCUAUUAACCAAUAUGCAGUGUGCAGAAGACAACAUUAUAAGAUAACCCUCUGCACCCAGUUUGUUAACAACAAAGGCAUACCAGGAACCAGUUAUUUUUGGAAUAUCCUUUAGAAAUAGUAUGUGGUAAGGCUCUAGCAAUCAGUUGG